rnacentral:ncRNA from 2 species
GGGACUUACUGUCAGGCAUUUUGUAUAAGCUUCAAAUAUGGUGAAGCGUUUCUACAGAGCACCAAUAAUGCUCCGCUAUAAAAUGACUCGAAUCUACA